GUUCAUAAAUAUCAGGUGCAGCAACUUAAGAAUUGUUUAUAAUUCUUUUCUCUGAGCUUUUCAUGGCUUUUCCCAGAAUGAUGCCUGGGAAACUAUCCAUUUCUCUCUCUCAGUAUCUACAAGUAAUACCCAGUGAGCAGUGUCAAACUGGAUAAAGUUGUCUGGAGAUAAAAUUCCACCCUUGAAGAAGGUCAGAAUUCUGCUGGAGUUGUCAGAUCUAAUGUCCAAGCUGACCCUGCUCUGAGUGAGAGGAUCUAGGACAUCCUGAGCCGCUGAAAAUGUAAGAGCCAUUUAUUACCAAGGAGACUUAGACUCAAGAGCUGCCUGCACCAGCAUCCAUACAGCUGUCAUGGCCCUCCAGUGCAUGGUAAAUGGCUCUGCUCUGCCCUGGCCCAGGGGUAAGGUUCCUCCAGCUGAAGAAUCGCUCUGCUUGCUGCUGUGACAGAAGGCAGAUUGCGUACGGGAAUCCCUUGAAGGACAGACUGCAUCUGAACUAGACCUGUUUUAAUAUUGACUCAGCCUUGUCCAUCUAAAGCCAUUACGAGGGUCCUGCCCUGCCAGGGAGAUAGUGAGGCCUUUUGAGUGCAUCUAAGGAAAGCAAAGGCACUUUUGAACACAGCAAAAAAUAAUCUGCAUUUUGAUUGUUUUCAUUUAGUCUCAGGUCUGGGCACUUGUCAGAAAUUAUUCUAAAUGCAUAGUGCAUCGAAAGUUUCCCUAAAUUUCAAUGCUCUGCAGUGAUUAUAUUCUUAUAUACAUCUCUUGUUUGUAAGAAUCGCCUUGACAUUUCCUGAAGGAAAAUUUCACUUUUCUAUCUGACCACACAUUUGUUUUUUUUUAAUAUAAAAUAAACUGAACUUCUACCAUGACUGACUGAAAUAUGUAACUGUACUGUUCUUGAAGCAGCAGAAAUCAAAAAAUCUUGCUUUUUGGAAAUUAUUUCAGUAGUAGUCCUUAAAUAAGAGUUUGCAAUGGCUCUGCUUAAGAGUUUGUAGACACUGUUGUGAAAUACUGUAAUUUAAUUUAUCCCAUAUAAAUGCAUGUAAUUUGUAUGUGGUAGCACUGAAGCCACCUUUAAACAGGCAAGCCUAGAAUACAGGAAUGUACAAAGUCUAAACCUGAUACAUUUGCUGUGUUGUCUGAAUGAAACAGUGCAAGACAAGAUUUUGGAGAGGGAUGCAGUGAUGUCUUCAAUAGGAUUAUAUUUCUU